rnacentral:rRNA from 1 species
UACGUAGGGGGCUAGCGUUGUCCGGAUUUAUUGGGCGUAAAGAGCGUGUAGGCGGCCAGAUAGGUCUGCUGUGAAAACUCGAGGCUCAACCUCGAGCUGUCGGCGGAAACCAUCUGGCUAGAGUCCGGAAGAGGAGAGUGGAAUUCCCGGUGUAGCGGUGAAAUGCGCAGAUAUCGGGAAGAACACCUAUGGCGAAGGCAGCUCUCUGGGACGGUACUGACGCUGAGACGCGAAAGCGUGGGGAGCGAACAGG